rnacentral:tRNA from 1 species
GGCUCGUUCGUCUAGGGGUUAGGACGCCGCCCUCUCAAGGCGGUAACACGGGUUCGAUUCCCGUACGGGCUA